AUACGGAGGGUGCAAGCGUUAAUCGGAAUUACUGGGCGUAAAGAGUACGUAGGUGGUUCGUUAAGUCAGAUGUGAAAGCCCAGGGCUCAACCUUGGAACUGCAUUUGAAACUGGCGAACUAGAGUAUGGUAGAGGGGGGUAGAAUUCAUAGUGUAGCGGUGAAAUGCGUAGAUAUUAUGAGGAAUACCAGUGGCGAAGGCGGCCCCCUGGACCAAUACUGACACUGAGGUACGAAAGCGUGGGGAGCGAACAGGAUUAGAUACCCUAGUAGUCC
rnacentral:rRNA from 1 species